rnacentral:sRNA from 1 species
CUUCUUCAAUUUGUUGCGGACAGACAAAGUGAAUAUGUGCGUCUAUACCACCGGCGGUUAGAAUCUUGCCUUCACCGGCAAUAAUUUCCGUACCGGGGCCAAUAAUAAUAUCCACACCCGCCUGGGUAUCUGGAUUACCCGCUUUACCAAUCCGUGCAAUGCGCCCUUCUUUGAUACCGACAUCGGCUUUAAUAAUGCCCCAAUGAUCAACAAUCAAGGCAUUGGUAAUCACCAAAUCCAUCGCCGUACUUGAAUCACACUGACUUUGACCCAUACCAUCACG